UACUUGACCUUCCCUUCCUCAGCCCUCAGAAGAUCAUCUUGCCUUUUGCUUUACUGAGAAGUCCAAGGCCUUUGGGACUCUCUGUCAACUCAGCAAUGGAAAUUGAACCCAGGACCUCAUGCAUGAUGGAAUCUUUUUGUGUUGCCCAGAGUGGCCUCCAGCUCCUGGGCUCCAGCAAUUCUCUUGCCCGAGCAUCCUGAGGAGCGGAGAUUACAGUUGCCCACCACUUCACCUCGCCAAAGAAAUCCCGUUUUUCCUUUUCCUCCUUCCAGCCUAUCCCUUCUCUCCUUUAA